UAAAUGUAUGAUCGUACAGUCAAAGAACUCCAGAAGUAGUAACUGAUUUCAAGUUUUGCAGACUGAGUAAAUUAAAAUACAUGUUUCUUCAAUGGUAACCGGUUUAUUGGCAAUAUUUGUUACGCCUGGGGCAAUAAAGCAAGAUAUAUUUACAUACACUCAUUGAUAACCAAGUACACAGUGUAGUUUUUUCUGGAAAUAUUAAGGUAAGAAACGUAAGGUAAACUCUUCACUGAAAGAUCUUGACAGAAGAGGUGAAUAGAGUAACAUUUAAUAAUCUCUUCCCUGUAACCGUUAGCCGUCAACUGAAGAGAACGGCAAAUUUAUUCAAACAUGUCACGGCUAAAUGCCAGUUGUAUAAAUCGAGAGAUAGCUGACCGCUAAAUUUUACUCUUGGCCCAUAUAUGUGAUGCAAAUAUACUUCAUCAGCUUUACCCCCCUACCACCAUGAAAUCGGCAAUACAAGGAUUCUGAUACAAAUAACGCGGCUGUCUGAUCGCUCUUUCUUCCUUGCUUCACCGAUUUUCGCAGCUUCACAGACGGUGUCCGGAAGCUUUAUCCCCAAUGUUUCCGGAAAGCUCAGGGACAAAAAACUCGCUGAGAUGCCCAUCACCCCGUAUAAUAUGAAAGGUAGCGACUUCAUAUAGUGGGCCUGUAAGAAAAACAAACAAUCGGGGUAAAUUUCGUUUCGAAACGAAUUUAUUUGCCAACUAAUCAUAGGCUUGGAAAUAUAAACUUCAGGAGGUUGUUACAGCCGACAAUACCAGUACUCACUAGCAAUGGCGUUUGCGGAGCUGACAUAGACCCGAUACGACCAACCAUACUGCACAGGCCGAGAAGUGAGUGACGAAGUGACGUAGGAAACAUCUCCGUUGUGUACAUGUAUAUCAAGUGGUAAGCAG